rnacentral:rRNA from 1 species
CUACGGGUUGCUCCAGUGAGGAAUAUUGCACAAUGGGGGGAACCCUGAUGCAGCAACGCCGCGUGGAGGAUGACGCAUUUCGGUGUGUAAACUCCUUUUAUAUGUCAAGAAAAUGACGGUAGCAUAUGAAUAAGCACCGGCUAACUCCGUGCCAGCAGCCGCGGUAAUACGGAGGGUGCAAGCGUUACUCGGAAUCACUGGGCGUAAAGGACGCGUAGGCGGGUUGGAAAGUCAGGUGUGAAAUCCUACAGCGUAACUGUAGAGCUGCACUUGAAACUUCUAAUCUAGAGUAUGGGAGGGGGAGAUGGAAUUAGUGGUGUAGGGGUAAAAUCCGUAGAUAUCACUAGGAAUACCUAAAGCGAAGGCGAUCUCCUGGAACAUUACUGACGCUAAGGCGUGAAAGCGUGGGGAGCAAACAGGAUUAGAUACCCGCGUAGUC